rnacentral:lncRNA from 1 species
GUACAGACAGCUAUGCAGGACCUAGAUAUCGGUCAGUGGCUGUUGAAAUGUAGAAACUGGCAGGCACUGGUCCCAGUGGUGGCACCUUCAGUGGCCAUCUGCAAUAGUAUUUCUGGUAGCACCACCAGUGAGCAGCAUCAGCAUGUCAUAUUCAGAAGGCAGGGAACAAGAGACAGGCUGCUUUGAGACAGGCCCUGGAUGACGGCCAACACUGGCAACAAAGCCUUCUGUGUGCUUUGGCUUUACAGUUCAAAUUUCUUUUUUGAAGAAUAGAGUGAUGGUCAUCAGAAUUAGCUGAGGCAGAAGAGGAGGCAAAAUGGUAAUCUGGAAGGUAACCCUUCUGAGGAAAUUAGCAGCUUUGACAAUGGAAAGUACUGUUUCAUCUGUCUUCCCUAUGAGA